rnacentral:rRNA from 1 species
AUGCCAUGCUUCCAAGAAAAGCUUCUAAGCUUCAGGUAACCAGGAACCGUACCCCAAACCGACACAGGUGGUCGGGUAGAGAAUACCAAGGCGCUUGAGAGAACUCGGGUGAAGGAACUAGGCAAAAUGGCACCGUAACUUCGGGAGAAGGUGCGCCGGCUAGGGUGAAGGAUUUACUCCGUAAGCUCUGGCUGGUCGAAGAUACCAGGCCGCUGCGACUGUUUAUUAAAAACACAGCACUCUGCAAACACGAAAGUGGACGUAUAGGGUGUGACGCCUGCCCGGUGCCGGAAGGUUAAUUGAUGGGGUUAGCGCAAGCGAAGCUCUUGAUCGAAGCCCCGGUAAACGGCGGCCGUAACAAUAACGGUCCUAAGGUAGCGAAAUUCCUUGUCGGGUAAGUUCCGACCUGCACGAAUGGCGUAACGAUGGCGGCGCUGUCUCCACCCGAGACUCAGUGAAAUUGAAAUCGCUGUGAAGAUGCAGUGUAUCUGCGGCUAGACGGAAAGACCCCGUGAACCUUUACUGUAGCUUUGCACUGGACUUUGAGCCUGCUUGUGUAGGAUAGGUGGGAGGCUUUGAAGCGUGGACGCCAGUUCGCGUGGAGCCAUCCUUGAAAUACCACCCUGGCAUGCUUGAGGUUCUAACUCUGGUCCGUAAUCCGGAUCGAGGACAGUGUAUGGUGGGCAGUUUGACUGGGGCGGUCUCCUCCUAAAGAGUAACGGAGGAGUACGAAGGUGCGCUCAGACCGGUCGGAAAUCGGUCGCAGAGUAUAAAGGCAAAAGCGCGCUUGACUGCGAGACAGACACGUCGAGCAGGUACGAAAGUAGGUCUUAGUGAUCCGGUGGUUCUGUAUGGAAGGGCCAUCGCUCAACGGAUAAAAGGUACUCCGGGGAUAACAGGCUGAUACCGCCCAAGAGUUCAUAUCGACGGCGGUGUUUGGCACCUCGAUGUCGGCUCAUCACAUCCUGGGGCUGAAGCCGGUCCCAAGGGUAUGGCUGUUCGCCAUUUAAAGUGGUACGCGAGCUGGGUUUAGAACGUCGUGAGACAGUUCGGUCCCUAUCUGCCGUGGACGUUUGAGAUUUGAGAGGGGCUGCUCCUAGUACGAGAGGACCGGAGUGGACGAACCUCUGGUGUUCCGGUUGUCACGCCAGUGGCAUUGCCGGGUAGCUAUGUUCGGAAAAGAUGACCGCUGAAAGCAUCUAAGCGGGAAACUUGCCUCAAGAUGAGAUCUCACUGGGAACUUGAUUCCCCUGAAGGGCCGUCGAAGACUACGACGUUGAUAGGCUGGGUGUGUAAGCGUUGUGAGGCGUUGAGCUAACCAGUACUAAUUGCCCGUGAGGCUUGACC